rnacentral:rRNA from 1 species
GACGAACGCUGGCGGCGUGCUUAACACAUGCAAGUCGAACGGAAAGUCCCUGCUUCUGUGGGGGGCUGGAGUGUCGAACGUGUGAGUAACACGUUAGUAACCUGCCCUUGACUUUGAGAUAACUUCAGGAAACUGGGGCUAAUACCGGAUAGGAGCUCCUGCUGCAUGGUGGGGGUUGGAAUGUUUCUGCCGUGGGGGAUGGACUCUCGGCUUAUCAGCCUGUUGUUGGGGUAGUGUCUUACCGAGGCUUUGACGGGUAGCCGGCCUGAGAGGGUGACCGGCCACAUUGGGACGGAGAAACGGCCGCGACUCCUACGGGAGGCAGCAGUAGGGAAGAUUGCACAAUGGGCGGAGGCCUGCUGCCGCAACGCCGCGUGCGGGAUGACGGCCGUCGGGUUGUAACCCGCUUUCGCCUGUGGCGAAGCGUGAGUGACGGUAAUGGGUAAAGAAGCACCGGCUAACUACGUG